CCUACGGGUGGCAGCAGUGAGAAAUAUUGGUCAAUGGACGAGAGUCUGAACCAGCCAAGUAGCGUGAAGGAUGACUGCCCUAUGGGUUGUAAACUUCUUUUAUAUGGGAAUAAAAUGUUCCACGUGUGGGAUUUUGUAUGUACCAUAUGAAUAAGGAUCGGCUAACUCCGUGCCAGCAGCCGCGGUAAUACGGAGGAUCCGAGCGUUAUCCGGAUUUAUUGGGUUUAAAGGGAGCGUAGGUGGAUUGUUAAGUCAGUUGUGAAAGUUUGCGGCUCAACCGUAAAAUUGCAGUUGAAACUGGCAGUCUUGAGUACAGUAGAGGUGGGCGGAAUUCGUGGUGUAGCGGUGAAAUGCUUAGAUAUCACGAAGAACUCCGAUUGCGAAGGCAGUUCACUGGACUGCAACUGACACUGAGGCUCGAAAGUGUGGGUAUCAAACAGGAUUAGAUACCCUAGUAGC
rnacentral:rRNA from 1 species